rnacentral:rRNA from 1 species
GACGAACGCUGGCGGCGUGCUUAACACAUGCAAGUCGAACGGAAAGGCCUGCUUUCCCUUGUGGAUUGCGGGUACUCGAGUGGCGAACGGGUGAGUAACACGUGAGUGAUCUGCCCCCAACUUGGGUAUAAGCCUGGGAAACUGGGUCUAAUUCCCGAUAGGACUGCAGGGUGGUGCCUGUGGUGGAAAACGAUUUUCUAGUGGUUGGGGAUGAGCUCGCGGCCUAUCAGCUUGUUGGUGGGGUAAUGGCCUACCAAGGCGGCGACGGGUAGCCGGCCUGGGGGGGUGGACAGGGACAUUGGGACGGGGAUACUGCCCAGAAUCUGCCGGGAGGCAGCCGAUGGGGACAGUGACCGAGUGUGGGAGGCUUGAAGCAGCGAGGACGCGUGGGAGAUGACGGCUGUGGGGUUGUAUACUCCUGUCGUCCGCGGUGAAGGCGCAUGAUUGGGGGGGUGGUGACGGUAGUGGUAGAAGAAGCACCGGCUAACUACGUG